GAUGAACGCUGGCGGCGUGCUUAACACAUGCAAGUCGAACGAGAAGUGAAGACGGAAACCUUCGGGCGGAAGGCUUUAUUUCGAGUGUCGGACGGGUUAGUAACGCGUGGGUAGCCUGCCUCAUACAGGGGGAUAACAGUUGGAAACGACUGUUAAUACCGCAUAAGACCACAGCACCGCAUGGUGCGGGGGUAAAAACUCCGGUGGUAUGAGAUGGACCCGCGUUCGAUUAGCCAGUUGGCGGGGUAACGGCCCACCAAAGCGACGAUCGAUAGCCGAUCUGAGAGGAUGACCGGCCACAUUGGGACUGAGACACGGCCCAGACUCCUACGGGAGGCAGCAGUGGGGAAUAUUGCACAAUGGGGGAAACCCUGAUGCAGCGACGCCGCGUGAGUGAAGAAGUAUUUCGGUAUGUAAAGCUCUAUCAGCAGGGAAGAAAAUGACGGUACCUGAGGAAGAAGCCCCGGCUAACUACGUG
rnacentral:rRNA from 1 species